UAAGGAAUAUUGGACAAUGGAGGCAACUCUGAUCCAGCCAUGCCGCGUGAAGGAAUAAGGCCCUAUGGGUUGUAAACUUCUUUUAUAGGGGAAGAAAUGUGACGGUUCUCCGUCACUUGACGGUACCCUGGGAAUAAGCACCGGCUAACUCCGUGCCAGCAGCCGCGGUAAUACGGAGGGUGCAAGCGUUAUCCGGAUUCACUGGGUUUAAAGGGUGCGUAGGUGGGCAGAUAAGUCAGUGGUGAAAUCUUCCGGCUUAACCGGAAAAUUGCCGUUGAUACUAUUUGUCUUGAAUAUUGUGGAGGUAAGCGGAAUAUGUCAUGUAGCGGUGAAAUGCUUAGAUAUGACAUAGAACACCAAUUGCGAAGGCAGCUUACUAUAUAAUUAUUGACACUGAGGCACGAAAGCGUGGGUAGCGAACA
rnacentral:rRNA from 1 species